AGGGCGUCCAUACCACCCUCAGCGCCCCCAGUCUCAUCUGGUCUCGGAAGCUAAGCAGGGUCACGCCUGGUUGGUGCUUGUAUGUGAGAAGGGGACAGAGGCUCAGCAAAUGCCGCUA
rnacentral:rRNA from 1 species